rnacentral:rRNA from 1 species
UAGGGAAUCUUCGGCAAUGGGGGGAACCCUGACCGAGCAACGCCGCGUGAGUGAAGAAGGUUUUCGGAUCGUAAAGCUCUGUUGUUAAGGAAGAACGAGUGUGAGAAUGGAAAGUUCAUACUGUGACGGUACUUAACCAGAAAGGGACGGCUAACUACGUGCCAGCAGCCGCGGUAAUACGUAGGUCCCGAGCGUUGUCCGGAUUUAUUGGGCGUAAAGCGAGCGCAGGCGGUUAGAUAAGUCUGAAGUUAAAGGCAGUGGCUCAACCAUUGUAGGCUUUGGAAACUGUUUAACUUGAGUGCAGAAGGGGAGAGUGGAAUUCCAUGUGUAGCGGUGAAAUGCGUAGAUAUUAGGAGGAAUACCGGUGGCGAAGGCGACUUUCUGGCCAUAAUCUGACGCUGAGGUACGAAAGCGUGGGUAGCAAACAGG